rnacentral:tRNA from 1 species
GCGGGUAACGCAUAAAUGGUGGUGCACCAGCUUGCCAUGCUGGAAUAGAGUCGGUUCGAUUCCGAUUACCCGCUCCA